AGAUGUUACUCAGGGACAAUCUUCCUCAAGCAAAAAAACAAAAAAAAAAAAAAAAAAGGAGGAUUGGCAACGGAUGUUAGCUAAGGGCGAAUCUUCCUCGCAUACAAACACAAAACAAAAAAAGAGCUCAAGGGAGAUGAGGAACUCCUGGAUGAAUCCCUAGGAUGGAUAAAAAGACAGAGCUUCCUGGAUGGCUGGUCCCAGGGGCCGUGCGUUGGGAGCGUUGAGUGGAAAAGCUGGGCAGAUGCUCAGCUCAGUGGGAUGGGCGCUUCCUUGGAACUGUCCUCCCCCGAGGGGCUGCCCUGGCUUGACCUCAGCAUCGUGACAGCAGAGGUCAGUGGAAGGAUAUUCUCCACUGAACAGACAGCCACGUGUGCCAUCAGAGAGAGGUGUUGACUCCCGGUGGGCGGGACACGGAAGCUGCUCCCCAGUUCUCUCAUUUCCUUCCCACGCCGAAGCCUGCCAAUGUCCCCAGAUGUCCUUUCCUUAAAAUCUGCUAUCCUCUCCAACAAGUAAUAAAGUCCAGCCACCCAAGCUGCCCAAACCCUGCCGACUCAGCUCAAAAUAAUCGUCAUGCCAAAGUGGCGUAUUUCGAUGUGGCGUAUCCUGAUCCCAUCCAGCAGCUGAGUAAACGGAAGCAUAGAAAGCAACUUGCCUGAAGUCGCAGAACAGGCACCUGAGCUGGACCUGUUUUAAAGACAGAGAAGGCGGGGCUGGGGCAGCAGGCGCAGAGCUCACGUGGCAAGAACGUCAAGGUCAUGUAGCUCAAAAUCUGCUCUCCCCAGCCCUUUAGUCCUUGGGACAGCCAACACAGGGGAAGAAACUGCUGGUCCUCUAAGGAGGUGAGAAGUAGCAGGAGAGAGAAAGAACCAGGAGGAUGAGGAGCUGUGGGUCAAGCCAGGAAACUUCCACCAGGGAGGCUGGGAGUCAGGACAAAAAGCACUGUCCAGAUGGUGGAGCCUCUAGGAGCCUGGGUCUCUUGGAGCGGACAGCGUGAGCAGAGCCCCAGCUGACCACAUUGGGCACAGAGCAUGUGUUUUAAGCUACUGAUAUUUGCAGGAAUACAGACCCAGUUUCUCCAGAUUUCCUGAUUUUCAAGAGAAGCCCCAAAUCCUGACUUUUAUGUGUUGUUUGGCAGAGAUGACUAGUCACCUGCCGAAGAUCCGUGCAUACCCGUGUUAUGUAGAGUUAGUCCUUGGAAGCAAGUCUCCAGCCACGGAUGACAUUUCUAGCAUCCCCUCCCCUGCAAUCUAGAGGGAACCACGUGACUCGUUCUCACUAAUGGAAUGUGACGUGAAGUGGCUUACUUCUGGGUCAAGGUGGUUAAAUUCAGGUAUCUGAGCAGCCACCAGGUGACCAGCUCCAUGGAGGACAACAGUGGAGAACAAGACAGUCAAGCACACUGCUCUCACAGAACUUAUGUUCUAAUCCUCCCCUCUCCAAGGUGCCUGGAGCUGCUUUGGGGACGAGACAACUCGAGGUGACAUGGCGCAGGAUUACAGGCAUGAAGCCCACAGAGGGAAGGAUGCUCCCUUUCACUUCUCCUUUGAUCUCUCUGAUUAAGCACCUUCUCUGGUGCUAGACUGUCUUAUCUUUAACACCUUUCUAACACUUCGGUUGUAUCUUUUUUACAAAGAGCAGGCAGCCGGCCUUCAGCUUACAAUAGGCAGCAGCCAGAAUAUGGCUUGAUUGUUUUGUUUUUGUUGUAUUUAUUUUCCCAGUUACUACUUGCUUAUGGCAAGUAAUUCAGUUUUCUUUUCA
ensembl:lncRNA